ACCAGACUCCUACGGGAGGCAGCAGUGGGGAAUAUUGCACAAUGGGGGGAACCCUGAUGCAGCGACGCCGCGUGGGUGAAGGAGUACUUCGGUACGUAAAGCCCUAUCAGCAGGAAAGAAAAUGACGGUACCUGACUAAGAAGCCCCGGCUAACUACGUGCCAGCAGCCGCGGUAAUACGUAGGGGGCAAGCGUUAUCCGGAUUUACUGGGUGUAAAGGGAGCGUAGACGGCGAUGCAAGUCUGAAGUGAAAGGCGGGGGCCCAACCCCCGGACUGCUUUGGAAACUGUAUGGCUGGAGUGCAGGAGAGGUAAGUGGAAUUCCUAGUGUAGCGGUGAAAUGCGUAGAUAUUAGGAGGAACACCAGUGGCGAAGGCGGCCUGCUGGGCUUUAACUGACGCUGAGGCUCGAAAGCGUGGGUAGCAAACAGGAUUAGAUACCCCAGUA
rnacentral:rRNA from 1 species